GUCCUUGUCGAUUAGUGGUAAAUCAUCGCAUUGUGUCUCAUUCCAAUCUGGCGAAGCCGGAAGUUCGAAUCCUCCCUGGGACA